rnacentral:tRNA from 1 species
GCCGAGGUGGCGAAAUUGGCAGACGCGUAUGGCUUAGGACCAUAUGGGUUUAAAAACCCUUGGAGGUUCAAGUCCUCUCCUCGGCA